UUCUUGAAACCAAUUACAUCAAUAUUUAUCCAAAUAUAUAGAAAGCAAUUUUGAUAAGACCUGUUAGUUUUAUAUUCAAGAAAAAAGAUUGCACUAUUGCAUUGUGUUUUCAGUUUUCCCCUUUGUUAAAGUUAUGCUUCCAGAACUCUUAUUUAUUGCAACAUUUUAAUUUAGUUUAAAAAAGUUUACCCAUUACAUUGAUUAUGUUUUGUGGUAUGUGUUUGUAGAAGCUGUCAUCACAUGUUUUAUUUUUAUUGGAAAGACAGAGAAGAAGUUUUCUUGAAACCGGAUCCUCUCACCCCAAAUAUCAACUUAUACGCCCCAACCCCUCUGAAGCGAACACUUGAAAUAUUCUUUCGUUUGAUCUCAGCAAACCAAAUGUCCAGAAUCUUGAAGCAAAGCAGAGACAUAACGAUUGAUUUUCAUCCACUUUUUUCUUCGAUAUCUCUGCUUUCACCCAAAUCGACGCUUCUCACAGGCGAUGGCCAUAGUGGACAGAGGGUUUGUUUUUUCCAGUCUGAUUCCACUAUCUGUUCCUCAAUUUUACAAGCGUGAGAUCAGGAAGACAGAGAAGAAAUUUUGGUUAUAUUUACUGCUGCUGUUAUUCUUUUUCAGCAAGAUGCCAAGGAGUUGGUUCACGUUAUGAGAUGUUGGCUGAAUUGUCGAGAAGAGAGGGAGAUGCAAACAUAAAACCUGAUCCAGAUAUCGAUGUCUUCAUGAAGGCUGCUGCUACUGAAGGUUAAGAAGGUAGCGUACUCACAGAUUAUACUCUCAAGCUAUUGGGAUUUGGAACAUCUCAUCUCUUUUGAAGGACAGGGUUAGGAAAAUUAAAGGAAACCCUGAUUUCUGUUGCUUCAUCUCUCAACAAAAUACUAUAAAUCAAGAAAAAACUGUAAAUCAAGGUGAACUACCACAUAUUAUAUACCAGGUUUGUUGUCUAUAUAUGUUUUUGUUUUUAGAGUAUUCACUAUCUGAUUUGCUGAUGCUUUUUAGAUAUUGUUCAAGAAUCUUGAUUUGGACAUGAAGGCAGUUACUCCAUUUCCCUGCUGUUCCUUUGGUUGAAGAUAUGAAUAUGUUUUUUAUUUUUCUCUUUUGAUUGCAACUGCCAACUAGAUAAUUAAAAACUGUUUGCUGAAAAACUUAUUGAUCCUUUACUUUUGCAGGGUGCUUCCAAUGGUAAUGGAUAAGGCAAGGGUAUUAAAGAUAUAUAGUUUCUACUAUAAAUAUUGUCCAGAAGAGUGUUUCAAGCAACAAUGGCACUUGUUUUAAAGAUAAUUAUGAAUACCAUGGUUUGAAUAAUGCAAGUGAAUCCCUUAAACAUGCCAUGCAACGUGCUAUUGGGAUGUGCAUCAAUUGAGAAGCUUCUGUCCAAAAGGGGCAACAAUUUAAUCUUUUAUCUCUCUUGUUGAAGCACUGAAGAUGAGUGAUACAAGAGUAUUGUUGUCUGCUCUUCACAAUGUCAUUUAGAUUUUAUCCAAUUGCUAGAAUCCACCUGAGUCGCUUGUUGACCGGUUUAACUGGUAAGUUAUUGGCGACAAGGUGUCUAGUUGGUAUGCAUUUGAUGACGUGUCAAUUACAUGCCAUGUCACCUCACCAAAACUUACCGGUGGUUAAAUUGGGAAUAGAACAUUUUUUCAGUGGAACCAAAACUCUAUGAUUCUUGGAUGGAACAGGUGACACAGCAUCCUGUUCUGCUCUGUUCUAAACCUGUUUCCUAAUAAUUAAUUAUUCUCAUCUUAUUACAUCAUUUUUAACUCCUUAAUUUAUCAAUCUAAUCAUUAUUAAUUUCAUUCUUGUAAAACCAGGUGUCUAUGCCAUUUAAUGACUGGUUUUCCACUUUUCACAGCGGAAGUGGACAGAUGGUUUCUCUUUGCCAGUUUUAUUCCACCAUUUGUUUCUCAAUUUCAGAAUCUUGAGGUAUUUUUGAAUCCUUUUGGUUUUAAUCUGUUAACCAAAUUACUAGAGGUGGGAAGUUCCUUUGUUGCAUUAAACUUACACUUUUAUUGGGCUUGUGACCUAUUUUUUUAUUUAUUAGAUUAGGGAUUCUGUUAUGGAAUACUAUAAUUGUAGGUUGUUUCUGCCUUUUCAAUUUUCAUGAACGCAAACUAAUAUUUUACUCUUUUUACAGGAUGUUGCCACCUGAAACCAUUGUGGGCCCCUUUAAACCUAACCUCAUUUGGAAACCAACAUCUCCAAAGGAGCUGUCAUCACAUGUUAUGGGAAAGACAGAAGAAAAUUUCUUUUACCAAAUAAUAUUCAUAUUUAGUCCAAGGUAUGUCAUCUCCUACUGCUGUUAUUCUUUUUCAAUUUCAAAUUUUUCAUUGACAUUAUAAGAUACAAUUGUGUGAUACUCCAGAAAUAGGAAAGUACUUUCAUUUCAUAAUUCAUACUCCAGGUAUGUUCCACCACUAAACCACUCUAUAUUUUGCUGUGUGUCAUAAAUUCAGUCAUGUCCUGCUUCUCUUUGUCUUUUACAAUUAGCAUUGUGCUUUAAUUUUACUUUGAAAAAACUUCCCAUUAACUCAUUGUGCAUUCAAAAACAUCCAUUUUGCAUUGAGUUUUCAUAAAUCCUCCUAUUUUUAGCAUCCUACUUUCACUUUUCUUUAUCUAACAUCAAUGAAACAUCAGACUUCUCUUUUUCUCAUCUAUGCAUUUUACUUUGAAACAACUUCCCUUUAAAGCAUUCUACUUUCAAUAAAAAUCAUCCAUUUUGCAUUGAAUUUUCAAAAAUCAUCCCAUUUUUAUUUAGUGUUCUACUUUUACUUUUCUUUCUAUAACACCACUGAAACAUCAAACUUUACUUUUCUCAUCUAUGCAUUUUACUUUUUAAAAAAUUUCCAAUUAAAGCAUUCUGUUGUCCACCAAAUUCUACUUUCAAAAUCAUCCCUUUUUUUAGCAUUGUACUUUAACUUUUCUUUUUGUAACAUCAUUAAAACAUCAAAUUCUCUUUUCUCAUCUAUGCAUUUUACUUUCAAAAAAUUCCAAAUAAAGCAUUUUACUUUCAAAAAUUUCUAUUUUACAUUGAAUUUAAAAAAAUCAUCACAUUUUUAACAUUGUACUUUACCUUUUUCUUUGUGUAACAUCAUUGAAACAUCACUCUUAUUUUUUUUUUCUCAUCUAUGCAUUUACAUUGAAAAAACUUGCAAUUCAAGCAUUCUUUUUUUAAAAACUUCCAUUUUACAUUGAAUUUUCAAAAACCAUUCUAUUUUUAGCAUUGUAGUUUAACUUUUCUUUCUGUAACAUAAUUAAAACAUCAAACUUCUUUUUUCUCAUCUAUGUGUUUUCCUUUGAAAAAAAUUAGACAUAAAGCAUUCUACUUUCAAAAGCUUCCCAUUUUACAUUCAACUUUCAAAAAUCAUCCCAUUUUAGGAUUGUACUUUAACUUUCUUUUCUAUAACAUCAUUGAAACAUCAAACCUUUUUUUUUCUCAUCUAUGUAUUUUACUUUGAAAAAUCUUACAGUUAAAACAUUCUACUUUCAAAAACUUUCCAUUUUACAUUGAGUUUUUUAAAAUAAUCACAUUUUUAGCAUUGUACUUUUUCUUAAUGUAACAUCAUCGAAACAUCAAACUUCUCAUUUCUCAUCUAUGCAUUUUACUUUGAAAAAAGUUUCAAUCAAAGCAUUAUAUUUUCAAAAUUUUCCAUUUUACAUUCAAUUUUCUAAAAUCACCCAUUUUUAGCAUUGUACUUUAGCUUUUUCUCAUCUAUGCAUAUACGUUGAAAAAAACUUAUAAUUAAAGCAUUGUACUUUCAAAAAUUUCCAUUUCACAUUCAUUUUUCAUGAAUCAUCCAAUUUUUAUCAUUUUACUUUAACUUUUCCUUAUGUAACAUCUUUGAAACAACAAACUUCUCAUUUCUCAUCUAUGCAUUUUAAUUUGGAAAAACUUACAAUCAAAGUAUUUUAUUUUCAAAAACAUUCAUUUGACACCCGAUUUUCAAAAAUAUCUCGUUUUAAGCAUUGUACCUAAACUUUUUCUCAUGUAUGCAUUUUACUUUGAAAAAACAUUACAAUUAAAGCAAUCUACUAUAAAAAACUUUCAUUUAACAUUCAAUUCUCAAAAAUUAUCCAUUUUUAUCAUUAUAUUUUAACUCUUUCUUUAUGUAACAUCUUUGAAACAUGAAAUUUCUCAUUUCUCAUCUAUGCAAAGCAGAGAAAUGAGAAAUUUCAUCCCCUUUUUGAGAAUUGAACGUCCAGAAUCUUGAAGCAAAGCAGAGAAAUAACGAGUGAUUUUCAUCCCUUUUUUUCUUCGACAUGUCUGCUUUCACCCAAAUCGACGCCUCUCACAGGCGAUGGUCAUAGUAGACGUAGGGUUAGUCUGAGUCCACUAUUUGUUUCCCAGUUUCACAAUCUUGAUGUAUUUUUGAACCUUGUUGGUUUUAUUUUGUUAUGUGGGAAUGCAACAGGUUCUUCUAAGUUCCGAGCUCAUACAGAUAGGUUCUGAAGAGCGUUUAUUGCUAAUUACAGAGGUAUAUUUUGUUUUUUUUCAUCUUCUUGACUUAGGUGGGAUAUAUGAUAUCAACCACCUAAUCCUUGGACUAUGGGGAUUCUUGGAUUAGUUGCUGAAAUUCAUGCAAUGCCAAAUCUCAGUUCUUAUGUUUUCAAUUGAAGUAUGUUUGAAUCUAUGUAUGUGUAGCACAUGUACUAUUGUGAUUUUGUACAUAUUCCCAUGUUGGUUUUCCCUUUUAGAUAUUGUUCAAGAAUCUUGAUUUGGACAUGAAGGACAGGGUUAGGAAAAUUGAAGGAAACCCUGAUUUCUGUUGCUUCAUCUCAACAAAAUACUGUAAAUCAAGGAUGCUUCCAAUGGUAAUGGAUAAGGCAAGGGUAUUAAAGAUAUAUAUAUAUAUAUAUAUAUAUAUAUAUAUAUAUAUAUAUAUAUAUAUAUAUAUUGUCCAGAAGAGUGUUUCACUAGCAACAAUGUCACUUGUUUUAAAGAUAAGAAACUCUGAAUACUCUGGUUUGAAUAAUGCAAGUGAAUCCCUUAAACAUGCCAUGCAACUUGUUAUUGGGAUCUGCAUCAAUUGAGAAGCUUCUGUCCAAAAGGGGCAUCAACAUAAUCUUUUAUCUCCCUUGUUGAAGCACUGAAGAUGAGUGAUGCAAGAGUAUUAUUGUCAGCUCUUCACAAUGUCAUUCACAUUUUAUUCAAGGUCAUUGAUCUUGCUCCUAAUUGCUGCCUAGAAUCCACCUGAGUCGCUUGUUGACUGUUUUAACUGGUAAGUUAUUGGUGACAUGGGGUCUAUGCAUUUGACAAUUCUAUGACCUUUAUUAUAUUUACCUUUGAUGACGUGUCAAAUACAUGCCAUGCCAUGUAACCUCACCAAAACUUACCGGUUGGUUGGUUAAACGGGGAAUAGAAUGUCACCAAAACUCUAUGAUUCUUGGAUGGAACAGGUGACACAGCAUCAUGUUCUGUUCUGAACUUGUUAACUAAUAAUUAAAUAUUCUCAUCUUAUUACAUCAUUUUUAACUCCUUAAUUUAUAUUAAUUUCCCAGGUGUCUAUGCUAUUUAUAUUUAAUGACUGGUUUUCCACUUUUCACAGUGGAAUUUGACAGGGUUUCUUUUUGCCAGUUUGAUUCAACCAUUUGUUUCCCAAUUUCACAUUUACUUGAGGUAUUUUUGGUUUUAAUUUAACUGAAUUUUACUAGAGCUGUGAAGUGCCUACGUUUCACCAAACUUACACUUUUAUUGGGCUUGUGACCUAUUUUUUUAUUUAUUAGAUUAGGGAUUCUGUUAUGGAAUACUAUAAUUGUAGGUUGUUUGUGCCUUUUUAAUUUUCAUGAACACAAACUAAUGUUUUACU